rnacentral:rRNA from 1 species
GACGAACGCUAGCGGCGUGCUUAACACAUGCAAGUCGAGCGGAAGGGCCCUGCUGUUGUGGGGUGCUCGGGGGACGAGCGGGUGAGUAGCACGUGAGUUACCUGCCCUUGACUGUGAGCUAACUUCAAGAAACUUUGGCACAUCCCGGAUAAGUGCUCCUCCUCCGUGGAGGGUGUUGACUAGGUUGGGCGGUGAGGGGUGCGCUCGCGGCUUAUCAGUUGGUGGGUGGGGGAGUGGCUUACCAGGGCAUCGUCGGGUGGCCGGCCUGAGAGGGUGACCGGCCACAUUGCGACUGAGCUACGGCCCGGACUCGUACGGGAUGCAGCAGUGGGGAAUAUUGCACGAUGCGCGGAAGCCUGAUGCAGCAAGGCCGCGUGCUGGAUGAUGGCCUUCGGUUUGUAGACCGCAUUCGUCUGUGACUAAGAGUGAGUGACGGUAACGGGUAAAGAAGCACCGGCUAACUACGUG